rnacentral:rRNA from 1 species
UAAAGAAUAUUGGACAAUGGGGGAAACCCUGAUCCAGGCAUACCGCGUGUGUGAAGAAGGCCCUAGGGUUGUAAAGCACUUUAAGCAAUGAAGAAGAUAUUAAAGUUAAUACCUUUAAUAUUUGACGUUAAUUGCAGAAUAAGUACCGGCUAACUCCGUGCCAGCAGCCGCGGUAAUACGGAGGGUACAAGCGUUAAUCGGAAUUACUGGGCGUAAAGCGCGCGUAGGCGGUUUAGUAAGUUGUAUGUGAAAGCCCCGGGCUCAACCUGGGAACUGCAUACAAAACUACUAAACUAGAGUACGAGAGAGGAGAGUAGAAUUUGAAGUGUAGCGGUGAAAUGCGUAGAUAUUUCAAGGAAUACCAAUGGCGAAGGCAGCUCUCUGGCUCGACACUGACGCUGAGGUGCGAAAGCGUGGGUAGCAAACAGG